CCAUGACUUCCGGCUCCCAGCCGCGGGCGCCGCCGGAUGACGUACCCGCCCCGCCCCCUCCAGCCGCGCCCCCGGCUGGCGCUGCGCAGGCGCGACACUUGCGCUCUCGCGGGAAGCGGCCGAGGCGUUUGGAGGCGCCCGCGGUCGAGGCGCUCCUGGUCUCGGAAGGAGGGCGCGAUGGAGAAGCGGGGCCGCGGUGGCAACAUGCCGUCGAGCCAGACCCUGCAGCUGCCGGCCACGGCGCCUCAGAAAGAGCGGAGGCCCAGCAUGUUCGAGAAGGAGUCCUAUGCACAGAUUUUAAGAGAAAGACUGAAGGAGUCAUCUCAUGAAGUUCAGUAUAUAGAGCCUCCGUUUGAUGAUUCGAUUACUGAUAUAGGAAAAGAAUGGAAGAGUACCCUAGCUAAAUUACGGUUUGCAAAUUCAUAUAGAAUGGAGCCACUGAAAAAAUUCCAAGCUUAUUCAGUGGAGACAAAAGUCCAGCAGAUACUAAAGGUCGCCAGCCAAUGGAUCUGGGAUGUUAAGUGGGACAGCUGGGUCGCAGCUAAACAUGAAACGGAAACGUACGUGGCACUGGCCUUGGUGUUUGCUGUUUAUUGUGAAUAGCUCGCUGCAUGUCCUAAGGAAUGUUUACUUCUCGACAUCCGUGAAACUUAUAGAUUUGUGAACGGCACAGUAGUUUUGAUUAGUCUCUCUCCAGAUGUACAACACUUUGUCUCCUGCUUCUCCACCAGCCUGACUUUUUCCCAAGGAGAGUCCAACUGAAAGCCGCUUUUUCUCUCAGGGCCAGGGCCUCAGAGCCAGGAGGUGGGUAGGUGGCCCCUCUGACCUUAGCGCCUCUAGCAGCUGGAAAUUUGAGUAUCUGGAUAUACAGCCCUUCACAUCUGUGUGUCACCCUGGCUGCUAGUCCCCUGGCUUGUUCCUUCUCAUCACCUGGAGACUUCAGCUUCCGGAUCACAAGCUUCAUCUCUACUUGGCUCCUGCCACCAUUCUUUGUGACUUCACUUCCAUGCAGAUAAUCAUCCAACAAGGCAGUCCUCGCUUCGUGCCGUCUGAUAGGCACACACCUCAUUACCACAGUGUACGAGUAGUUAAACACCAGUCCCCAACAAUAUGUUCUGACUUUCAGUUGCCACGGUGUAUUACCUGGGAGUGAUUUGGGAAAGAGCAAACUCCACAGCUAACUCUCCAGUGCACACAUCUUUAUGUAAAUAACAGAUAGCUUCACGAUCCUUUUUCCAAGUCUGUCAGUCGUUGGUCAUGGCACAUCUGUUACUCGGCUCACAGCAAAGCUUGUGGUUGUGUUGUCUCCUUGUCUCCCAGUGACAAAUCCAUGCGACGUGUUACAAAAUGGGCCAUUAAAAGAAGGAAUUGGCGGGGCCGGCCGAGUGGCGCAUUAGUUAAGAGCUGGCUUGGGAUGCCAGA